UACGUAGGGUCCGAGCGUUGUCCGGAGUUACUGGGCGUAAAGGGCGCACAGGUGGCGGUGUUGGCCCGGCGUGAAAGCCCCCGGCUCAACCGGGGAGGGUCGUCGGGGACCGCACCGCUUGAGGGCGGUAGGGGCUGGUGGAAUGCCUGGUGUAGUGGUGAAAUGCGUAGAGAUCAGGCGGAACACCCGUAGCGAAGGCGGCCAGCUGGGCCGUCCCUGACACUGAGGCGCGAAGGCGUGGGGAGCGAACGGG
rnacentral:rRNA from 1 species